ensembl:lncRNA
UGUGCUCCCAUCCUCAGCUGUCGGCAUCCUUGAGGGAAGGGCUGGCCAGCGGGGGCAGGAGCCCAGGGUGAGGGGGCUCCAGGGCCCGCGCCCCCUUCUGCCUUUCAUAGUGGGGCCUGUCUGAGCCACUCAGCAGGGUUCCCCAUUGUGUACCUUUCCCCCUCUUUCUAACCCCUUUUAUAAACAAGACUUACUUUCUUAUCAGAUGCAUUUGGAAACCAGACCUUUGCUACCAAGCAUCUCUGGGUUUUGUACAGGGCCACCUCUGCGCCACUCUCAGGGCCUGCCCACUCCCGCUCUGGACCACCCUGGCUGACCCCUCCAGGGCCCUCGGUGCCACAGGGGCGUCUUCUCCCUCAAAACGAUACUUCACUGGGAAAUUCACCUCCCGCCCCUAAGCCCCCGUGUUAAUUCUCGUAUGAGCUGGAUUUCAGAGAUGGAGGCAAACAUGAAGGGAAAGACAUGUAAUGACUUUUUUUUUUAAUCGUGGUCUUUUUUCUUUUUCCAAAGCAAUGUUUAAACUAAUUUUUGUACCUUCCCAUGUAUGCGUCUGUGUUCGGUGUCUGCAUCACCAACGUGGAAGGUGGGCCAUCAGGCGGCUCGUUCUUUGGGGUAGGGGAGGGGAGGGGAACCAAGAUUUUGUAUCAAGCUCUGGAUCCUGACGGGGUUGUAUGUUUGGACUCUGGGUUUGGGAAUAGUCACAACACUGCCAGGACUGGAUAGGGACCUCGAUUGAAAGGACACAGCUACUGCUUCCAACUUUGCACAUCUUCCUUUUUAGAAAAGAGAACUCUUGAGAAAAUGCAAAAACUGGAACUUUUUGCAAUAUUAUAUGAAAGAUAAUCUUAUUUUCGCUCAUUCUGUGACAUGUGCAACUCUUAAGAAAGCCAUACUUAAUGGUGUUUUUAUUUUUAGAUCCUAUAUUGUGUUUUGUACCCGGCCCUUUUUAGAACUUGUAGUGAGGGCGCUGUGUGUGUGCUUUUCUUAAAUAUUUAUUUUUUCAACAUGCUUUCAACCUGUCAACAAAAACAAAGCAGACAAAAAAGGGCAGUGUUUGAAGAUUGUUGAUUUUUUUUCUGGGGAUAAUCUAUAUUAUAUCAACUUUAUAUUAACGACUAUAAACCUGUGUUUGUAUUGGAAAUGUGUUUCACAUUUGUGGGGGGUCUUUUGUAAUCCGUCGGUGGAACAUCAGGGCUGUUGCCUGUUUCCCUGGAGCCAUCGAUGCCAACAGCACCUCCUCCCUAGUGGUCUUGAGAUUCCUUACCUGCUGGGUGUGCUCUGGGACCCCUGUGGGUCUCAUC